rnacentral:SRP_RNA from 1 species
GUCGAGCUUAGUAACGCAAGCUUGUGAUCCGAGUGGAGAAAACAAGGUGAUGGGAUAUUGUCCCGAUUUGCCCAGUCUGGUUAGCUGAGGUCGAGUUACCGGGUCCAAGUGGAGUUCGGCGCUCGGAUCAGCUUAGGCUAGUAGUUCCGUUAGUCUCCUAGAGCGGAAAGAAUAUUGGACCAGUGACUUCUGAACCCACCAACUAGACCGCUGGUAAGCCGGUUCCAAUGGACCAUCGCUUUU